UCCAGUCUAGAAGGUGGCGGUAGUGCACGUAAAGCUGUUUGCCAACCGUUAUUAAACAAACGAAGAAGAAGUAACAGUCCAAUCACAGAGCAGAGUGAAAUUGGCCAAACAGGUGGUAGCUGGGUUUUAUAAAUUAGUCUCCGGUGGUUGUUCUGUAAGUUUGGCUGUAAGGGAGAUUCAAGAGGGCCCGUGACUGUUCUGCUAGUCAGGUCCUGAUCCUCCAAAUAGCCAGAAACAAGGCAUCCAUGGCUCUGGAGUUCUUCCUUGGUGCUGCAAAGAAACCUGACUUUACAUCCAGAGGGACCAUUUUCCUGGAUGUGGAUCAUGCUGGAGUACAAUGAAGCACUGAAUCAGUGCGUAAUAGCUUUAAUGAAAACACAAACAGGGCCCAUAACAAAAGUCAGUCUCACGUGUUUUUUUUUUUUUUUUUAAAUGGCACUGUUCAGGUCUUGGUUCACUAGAUGCAGUGAAAAACCAAGACCUGAACCAGUGCCUCACAUCUUGGAUAUUAAAAUCAGAAGAAAGUUUAAGUUGCAAUAGCUUUAUUGAAGAAAGCCACAAUGAAAACAGGACAAGAACAGGGCCUGGAAAAAAAAAAAAAA